rnacentral:sRNA from 12 species
AAUGCCCUGUUUUUCGCGAAGUCCUACGUUCCACGUAGGAUAGAACCUAACGGUCUAGCGUAAACGGGGCUUU